AUCAAGGUCAGUGUCUGUCUCAGACCCCAAGGCCUGGGGACACGGUCGGUGCAUCUGCCAACAGGACACAGCGUCGAGUUUCCAGAAGCAAGUACCAGGACAAGCCAGAGCGGCCUCCUGCUCCCACAGGGACAACGUUCCAUCAUCCUGACAAUUCCAAAAGGCGGCCAGUGAAAAGGGAACCUCCCAGGAAACCACCUCCACCUUCACUCCCACAGAAACAAGUCUCACAGACUACCUACUGCCUCAUCCCUCAACAGCUCCCUGACCAUUCAUACUCAGCUCCGAAGAGACCUCCUGUGGUACAGCCUCGUGUUGCUGAAGCUAUUGCUCUGUUCUCCUCUUCACCAUUGAGGUCUUUGCAAGGAAGAAAUAGCAGGACAUUUAGAGAACUUUAAACCAAUUGCACAAGGAGUCAAGAGAUAACAAGGUGUAGAGCUGGAUGAACACAGCAGGCCAAGCAGCAUCAUAGGAGCAGGAAGGCUGACGUUUACAAUGUUUGAAAGGAGGACAGCAACUGAAGGACAGCCUGGAAAACACUGACCAAUCAGAGAUGAGGUACUAAUGGAAACAUCCGGAUGGAUAUGGAGACAUUCGGAUUGGAGCAGAAAUAUCCGGAUUGGAGCAGAAAUAUCCGGAUUGGAGCAGAAAUAUCGGAUUGGAGCAGAACUAUCUGAUGUGGGGAAUGUGAGGGAAAUAUCUGGGUGGGGGAUGUGAGGGAAAUAUCUGGGUGGGCGAUGUGAGGGAACUACCUGGGUGAAGGAUGU